ACCAACACAUAGGCCAAGUCUUAGGCCUAGUCUUAGUUUUACGCUUAGACAAAGACGCAGGCUUAGGCGUAGGCCUAGGCUUAAGCUUAGGCUUAGGCUCAGGCAUAGGCUUAGGCUUAGGCUUAGGCGUAGGCUUUGGCUUAGGUUUAG
ensembl:ncRNA R155.6 ncRNA